rnacentral:rRNA from 1 species
UACGAAGGGUGCAAGCGUUAGUCGGAAUUACUGGGCGUAAAGCGUGCGUAGGUGGCUUCUUAAGUCGGAUGUGAAAGCCCUGGGCUCAACCUGGGAAUGGCACUCGAUACUGGGAAGCUAGAGUGCGGUAGAGGAGGGUGGAAUUCCCGGUGUAGCGGUGAAAUGCGUAGAGAUCGGGAGGAACAUCAGUGGCGAAGGCGACCCUCUGGACCAGCACUGACGCUGAGGCACGAAAGCGUGGGGAGCAAACAGG